UUAAUUGAAGCCAAAAAGAGGCCUAUCACUGUUAAUGAUACUAUUGAAUAAUAAUUCCAAUUAAG
rnacentral:tRNA from 1 species